rnacentral:rRNA from 1 species
AGUAACACGUGGAUGACCUACCUAUAAGACUGGGAUAACUUCGGGAAACCGGAGCUAAUACCGGAUAAUAUUUUGAACCGCAUGGUUCAAAAGUGAAAGACGGUCUUGCUGUCACUUAUAGAUGGAUCCGCGCUGCAUUAGCUAGUUGGUAAGGUAACGGCUUACCAAGGCAACGAUGCAUAGCCGACCUGAGAGGGUGAUCGGCCACACUGGAACUGAGACACGGUCCAG